GAUAUACCAAAACCAGUGCUUGUUUCAGCAGCGAUACAGAGAAGAUUAGCAUGGUCCCUGUGCAAGGAUGACAUACAAAUUCGUGAAGCAUUCCAUGUUUGU